AAGGGGGUGGCAGAUUGGCUAUGCGAUUGACUUGAAAUCAAAAUAAGGGGGUUCAAUUCCCCCCUCUCUGGUA
rnacentral:tRNA from 1 species